AACGAACGCUGGCGGCAGGCUUAACACAUGCAAGUCGAACGCAUCCUUUUGGGUGAGUGGCAGACGGGUGAGUAACGCGUGGGAACGUGCCCUUCAGUUCGGGAUAACCCAGGGAAACUUGGGCUAAUACCGGAUACGUGCGAGAGCAGAAAGAUUUAUCGCUGAAGGAUCGGCCCGCGUCUGAUUAGCUAGUUGGUGAGGUAAUGGCUCACCAAGGCGACGAUCAGUAGCUGGUCUGAGAGGAUGAUCAGCCACAUUGGGACUGAGACACGGCCCAAACUCCUACGGGAGGCAGCAGUGGGGAAUAUUGGACAAUGGGCGCAAGCCUGAUCCAGCCAUGCCGCGUGAGUGAUGAAGGCCUUAGGGUUGUAAAGCUCUUUCGUCCGGGACGAUAAUGACGGUACCGGAAGAAGAAGCCCCGGCUAACUUCGUGCCAGCCGCCGCCGUAA
rnacentral:rRNA from 1 species